GACGAGCCGGACCGUCGAGUUACCGGAGGGGAGAGGCGGCGUCGGGAUAAAGCCGGCGGGGGAUGCCGGCGGCGCGAGUCGCUCACCGGCUCCCACCAGAGUCGCUCUGAAGGGGACCGUAGGCGCGCUCAGGCGGCGGCUGCCCGGGGCUGCGGCGGCAGGCAGCGCUUCGCACCGGCGGGAGAGCGUUCUGUACUUCAUUUGUCUGUACUGUGUUUGGAGACCUUUCUCCAAUAUCUGGCUACAUACCAGCCGACUUGUAGCUGUUUACAUCUUUGUCUACUCUUGCAUCUCUAAGCACACGUUGGACUCUGGGGAAAAUGUCUUGAUGGAGCCAUCCUAAGUGUGAUAUGCUAACGGCUCUCGUCGGUGGUUAACAAUGGCUUCUAAGUGCAUUUCUCAUUGUUAGGAUGUUCCUGCAUCAGCAGGUUCACCUGCUCUAACAGAAUUCCCAUGUAGCCGCUCUUCUCGUGCACCCCCGCCAAACAGCUUUGCUGUUUGUGUCCUGAAAGGCCUAAUCCAAAGGGACGGUGCUCUGAGAAGUGCUGUUACCCUCUGAUCACUCACUGGGUCUCCCGGUGCGGUACUUCCGCACAUUUCAUGAUCUGUCCAUAUUCUCUUCUGAUGCGAUGUCCUGCUGAUGUGGAUUCCUGUUAGGGAGGGAUGUGGAGCUUGGACGUUAUCUUCUUGCUGUUUAUAUCACUAGCUGUGGAAUUGCGAUGGGAAGCCUGAAUGACCUCAGCAGGCACUUCAGUGCAGAACUGGAGUCGUCCUUUGAGUGUAACAGAAGUGAAAUACACAUGGAAAGACAUCAAAGGACUCACUGUAAUACAGAUAAUAAUUCUGUAGAAGCUCAAGUCUCCCAUUCUUUUUUUUAUUUAGAGGUUCCAGAAAAAGAAAGUAUUAAAAUUUAUCAAAUAAGGCUUUUUGUAGCCUGUUUGGUUUCUUUUGUUUAAAGAUGAAUUUGAGUAUAACCAUUGUAAGACUUCUCAUAUGUUUUCCCCUGACAGAUGAUCUGUAAAGCUCACUCAGAUUGUAUAAAAACCACAGUUGUACUGUUUAAGGAAGAUGGCAAGAGCAACUGUGAGAGGAGUGUAUGUGAAAUGACAUAGGCAGAAAUGUAAACUUUGUAUCUUAGCUUCAUUAUUUAUAAAAUUCUGCUUUCAUAGAAUGUAAUGAAGUGUGGAAGUCCUGGAGUUAACUACCAUCCAUCCACAUACAUAUAUAAAUAAAAAUA